rnacentral:lncRNA from 1 species
NNNNNNNNNNNNNNNNNNNNNNNNNNNNNGGGGGCGGGGUCUCGGCCGCGCGGCCGCGUGGGUUCCGCGGAACCUGAGGCGCCUGCUGAGACACCCGUGCAACGUGACCUACGGAAGGUUGCAUUUCUCUGCAAGCAGCUCACUAAAUGCCCGCAGAGCCCUCCCCUCCCCCCACCGGUGUCUAAAUGGUUCUUUCUGGAAGAAGCCUGCAGGAACCAGCAGAGCAGGUUUGUGGUGGUGAGUCGCAGUGAGCCGGGCGGAUUUGAAUCCGGACUGAGCACACUUGCAGUUGGUCAGCUGGCCUGCUUGAGUGGCUUCACCUAUGCCUGCCUGGAGGACAGUCUAUGGUUCUCAGUCAAAGGAGGAUACGGAAUCUGACACCCGCCCAGGGUGGACACAAAGCAAUGGGGGGGGGGGGAGAUGCUUUUGUGCUAAGCGAGGUUUCUAGGCAACAACUCAUUUAACUACUUCAAUGUCUCUAAUCAUUCAGCACUGCUGACCUUUAGAACGUGUCUGAUAAGCUCAUCAGAUUUCCGCAAUGAAAGAGCUGACGUAUGCAGAUGAGACAGAGCAACAUUUGGCUCCCGCCUUACUUUAUCCAGCCUCAGAAGCCCUCCCUUUGUUUUUUGUCCUACCAGAAAAUUGUCUUGGUGUUUUCUGACUUUGCUGUCUUCAGGUUCUGUCCCUACUGGUCUCUGUGCCUGGAUUCCCUUUUCUGGACCUGACAUCUCUUCAAGAUUUAUUUCAAGUUUCACUUCUUUGGGACUCUUGCACCACCAUCUCUAACUCCUCCCCACCCCCCCAUCCAUCCAUCACAGCUAUUCUCAGAAGCCUACAUUGAACCAGCACCAAGACAGACAUGGCCAUUGUCAUUGUCGAGAUUAUAACCUAAAAGGAAGACAGUGUUGAACAAACAAUUACAGCUUUAUUUUUCUCCAUAUGUGUAAUGACUUGAGAGUCAAUUAUAUAUAUUUUUGUUUGUCGUCUACCUCUGAUAUUAGGCUGUAAUAAACUCUAGAAAACCAAGG